rnacentral:rRNA from 1 species
GACGUAGGGCGCGAGCGUUGUCCGGAUUUAUUGGGCGUAAAGAGCUCGUAGGCGGCUUGUCGCGUCGUCCGUGAAAACUUGGGGCUCAACCCCAAGCUUGCGGUCGAUACGGGCAGGCUAGAGUUCGGUAGGGGAGACUGGAAUUCCUGGUGUAGCGGUGAAAUGCGCAGAUAUCGGGAGGAACACCCGUAGCGAAGGCGGCACUCUGGGCCGGUACUGACGCUGAGGAGCGAAAGCGUGGGGAGCAAACAGG